CUGUCAGCAUUUCUGAAGCUCAAAUCAGGCCCUACUCUCUCCGCCCAGCCUCCAGGCCUUGUGGCAAUAUUGUCAGGGUUUCUGUGACUGUGAAUCAGCUCCCAGAGCACAGGAAAAAGAUACUGGUGUCUGAGGACCUCCUGGGAAAGACUCUUUUGUCAUGAAUGCACAUGAGGGCUAGAUUAUGUGAGGCUUGUCAGUGCCGGUGGACAGUCAUGCCAGUUACAGUUCAAAGAAUGAGGAGCCACCUACUUUGACAUGAGCUUUCUUAACUCUCUCUAACCAGUUCUGGAAUCCACAAUGACACUUAUAUAGCUUUAUGAUUAAGCCUCUUCCCUUUAUUACUUUGUGACCUUGGUGAGGUCAUUAACCCGCUCAAAGCCUCAACUUCCUCAGCUGUAAUUGGGAAUUGUGAGUACCUAAUUUAUUGAGUUGAUGUUAGUAUUAAGUAGUUACACUUCUUGCUCAUAAUAGUCACUCAAUUAACCUUACCUACUAUUAGUUAUUCUUUAUAAUGGCAUGGGGAAAAUAGUAUAUAGGCCCUAUCUUCUAGUAUUCUUUGCUAUCGGUUCAGCAAAAGCUUCCCCCUUAAAUGUAACUAAAAGGUAAGAUGUGUCAGAAUUUGUAAAAAUAAAAAAAAAAAAAAAAAAUUGAAUUAUUGAUCAUUCAGAUAAAAUUUUUAUAUUUUGAAAAUAUAUUAUUCUAUUAAAAGGUAACCAAGUACUUGAAGACAUUCCACUUAAUAGUAUCAUAAUUACAAAAGACAUUUUAUUCAAUUACUUAGACAAUUUGGUAACUUUCAGUUACACUUAUCUUUUCUUGGAAUUAUUAUCAACAUUUACUCUCCAUGGUAACCCUGUGUCUCUCAGAUAUAAUGAGAUUGGAUUUUUGCACAAGUGGGAUGGUCCCGUCAAUGUGUUACAGGAAAUCAUAAUAUUGAAGUCUUUUCUAGUUCUGCAGCACAAUCACCCAGAUUCAUAGGUUUUCAAAGUUUGAUGUUCUUAUGGAGGAUCCUGAGAUGUGUUCAGGUGUUCCCUGAAGUCAAAAUCAAUAUGCCUUUUUGCCAAUGGUGCAAAACUUCCGGGGUAUGAAGGUGAAUCAAGGCUCUGACAUCAAAUUGUAUUCACAGUCACUGUAUUCUUCUCUGCCACAUCAGUUUCAUCCAUUCAUUGAAGAAUAUCCUUCAGAAAGUGCUAGGAAUUAUUGAUUCUGUUAAACCUCAACUCUUGGCAAUGUGCCUAGCUAACGUUCUGUGUGAUGAAAUGAGAAGUAUGCAUAAAGCACCUCUAUUGCAUGCCAAAGUAUGAUAGGUGUCUCAAGGAAAAGUAUUUGUAUGGGUAUUUGAGUUGAAAACUGGACCAGCUGCUUUGUUCAUGGAACACUAUUUUUACUUGAAAGAAUGACUAAAAGACAAACUAUGAUUAUUCGAACUUGAGUAUUAGGCAAAUAUUUUUUUGAAAAUAAGUGAAGUGAAACUGUCACUUCACAGAAAACAACUAAGAGUAUUUGUGGCCAGUGUGUGAUUUGCACUUUCAAAUGAAAUUGUAUAUCCUUUUGCAAUUUGUAAAAUAUGGAUCCACCCCCAGGAGCUUGAUGGCU
rnacentral:lncRNA from 12 species